UGCAUCGGCCGGGAAUCGAACCCGGCAGGCAGGGCGCCAGCCCGCCCGCGUGGCAGGCGAGCAUUCUACCACUGAACCACCGAUGG